rnacentral:rRNA from 1 species
GACGAACGCUGGCGGCGUGCUUAACACAUGCAAGUCGAACGGAAAGGCCUCUUUCGGGGGGUACUCGAGUGGCGAACGGGUGAGUAACACGUGAGUAACCUGCCCUUGACUUUGGGAUAACUUCAGGAAACUGGGGCUAAUACCGGAUAGGAGCUCCUGCUGCAUGGUGGGGGUUGGAAAGUUUCGGCGGUUGGGGAUGGACUCGCGGCUUAUCAGCUUGUUGGUGGGGUAGUGGCUUACCAAGGCUUUGACGGGUAGCCGGCCUGAGAGGCUGACCGGCCACAUUGGGACUGAGAUACGGCCCAGACUCCUACGGGAGGCAGCAGUGGGGAAUAUUGCACAAUGGGUGGAAGCCUGAUGCAGCAACGCCGUGUGCGGGAUGACGGCCUUCGGGUUGUAAACCGCUUUCGCUCAUGACGAAGCUUUGUGUGACGGUAGUGGGUAAAGAAGCACCGGCUAACUACGUG